rnacentral:rRNA from 1 species
UGUCUUUUAAGAUAAUAAUUAAAAGUCGGGCCUGCCCAAUGAUUUAAAAAUUUAAUGGCCGCGGUAUUUUGACCGUGCUAAGGUAGCAUAAUCAUUAGUUUCUUAAUUAGAAGCUUGAAUGAAAGGUUUGAUGAAAAAAUAACUGUCCCAUUUUCAAUAUUUUGAAUUUUAUUUUUAAGGGAAAAAGCUUAAAUUUUUAUAAAAGACGAGAAGACCCUAUAGAGUUUUAUAUUAAAUUUUUAAGUAGUUUUAUUAAGAAUAAAAAAUUUUUUAAAUUUUUAAUAUUUGGUUGGGGKGAUUGAAAAACUUAAUUAACUUUUUUUUAUUUUUUACAAUAAUGUUUGAUUAAAUGAUCCUUGUUUUUAGAUUAUAAGAAUAAAUUACCUUAGGGAUAACAGCGUUAUUUUUUCUGAGAGUUCUAAUCGAAGGAAAAGUUUGCGACCCCGA